rnacentral:rRNA from 1 species
CCCUUAGAUGUCCGGGGCCGCACGCGCGCUACACUGAAGGAAUCAGCGUGGCUUUCUCCCUGACCCGAAAGGGUUGGGAAACCCGUUGAAUCUCCUUCGUGAUAGGGAUUGGGGCUUGAAAUUGUUCCCCAUGAACGAGGAAUUCCCAGUAAGCGCGAGUCAUAAGCUCGCGUUGAUUACGUCCCUGCCCUUUGUACACACCGCCCGUCGCUACUACCGAUUGAACGGUUUAGUGAGGGCCUCGGAUUGGUCUCUGCCCGCUCUUUACCGGGCGGCGCCGUUGGUCGAGAAGACGCUCGAACUUGAUCGUUUAGAGGAAGUAAAAGUCGUAACA